CGAGUGGCGGACGGGUGAGUAAUGUCUGGGAAACUGCCUGAUGGAGGGGGAUAACUACUGGAAACGGUAGCUAAUACCGCAUAACGUCGCAAGACCAAAGAGGGGGACCUUCGGGCCUCUUGCCAUCGGAUGUGCCCAGAUGGGUUAGUNUNUUGGUGGGUAGGUAGGCUCACCAAGGCGACGAUCCCUAGCUGGUCUGAGAGGAUGACCAGCCACACUGGAACUGAGACACGGUCCAGACUCCUACGGGAGGCAGCAUG
rnacentral:rRNA from 1 species